rnacentral:rRNA from 1 species
UAGGGAAUCUUCGGCAAUGGACGGAAGUCUGACCGAGCGAUGCCGCGUGAGUGAAGAAGGUCUUCGGAUUGUAAAGCUCUGUGAUUAGGGAAGAAGGCUAUUAGGAGGGAAUGCCUAAUAGGUGACGGUACCUAAUUAGAAAGCCACGGCUAACUACGUGCCAGCAGCCGCGGUAAUACGUAGGUGGCGAGCGUUGUCCGGAAUUACUGGGCGUAAAGGGUGCGUAGGCGGUCCAUUAAGUCUGAUUUGAAAUACCAUGGCUCAACCAUGGGGGUGGAUUGGAAACUGGUGGACUUGAGCGUAGGAGAGGAAGGUGGAAUUCCAUGUGUAGCGGUGAAAUGCGUAGAGAUAUGGAGGAACACCAGUGGCGAAGGCGGCCUUCUGGCCUAUCGCUGACGCUGAGGCACGAAAGCGUGGGGAGCAAACAGG